UUCAAAUGAGAACUUUGAAGGCCGAAG
rnacentral:ncRNA from 4 species